UAAUUGAAGAGUUUGAUCAUGGCUCAGAUUGAACGCUGGCGGCAGGCCUAACACAUGCAAGUCGAACGGUAACAGGGAGCAGC
rnacentral:rRNA from 1 species